CGGACACCCGCUGGAAAUAAGGAAUGGAUUUACAAUCGCUAUUAACGUAUUCAUGACAGAUUUUAGCAAUGAACAAUGACCAUAGUUGACAGAUCUUCAGAAAAGUCUGACUACGAGUCAGUCGGGUGUAAGCGAACUCCCUUUACCAGUGGAGACGCGGGGAUGGACGGCAGCUGUUCCAGCAGCUGGGCAAUGGGCAAUCCCACGAUGCCCAGCGACUCUCCGAGGCUGAAGGCUGCAGGAGGCUGCCUGGGCCCCACGCCUGGAGCUGCAGUCUACAACAGUACACCCUCCUCUGCGGACCGGCCCAAGGAGCAAGUGAUAAGCAGCGGUGAUGGCAUUGACUCGCCCCAGAAGGUCCUCUUCCCUCCAGAGCGGCUCAACCUGAAGUGGACCCAGGUUCAGCGCAUUGGUGCAGGCCUGCAGAACAUGGGGAACACCUGCUUCCUCAACUCAGCCCUGCAGUGUCUUACCUACACCCCUCCGUUUGCCAACUACUUGCUGACGCGGGAGCACUCCAAAACAUGUCACGAGCCGGGGUUCUGUAUGAUGUGCACCAUGCAAAAUCACAUCAUUCAGGUUUUUGCAAACUCUGGGAAUGUCAUUAAGCCCAUUGGGGUGCUCAAUGAGCUCAAAAGGAUUGCUAAGCACUUCCGCUAUGGAAGUCAGGAGGAUGCCCAUGAGUUCCUGCGGUACACAGUGGAUGCUAUGCAAAAGGCCUGCUUACCUGGGACCAAAUUGGACAGGCAAACGCAGGCAACCACUUUCAUCCAUCAAGUCUUUGGCGGGUACCUAAGGUCCAGAGUUAAAUGUUUAAACUGCAAAGCAGUCUCCGAUACAUUUGACCCUUUCUUGGAUAUAACUCUCGAAAUUAAGACAGCUCCCAGUGUCUCCAAGGCUCUGGAGCAAUUUGUCAAGCCAGAACAGCUGGAUGGAGAAAACGCCUACAAGUGCACCAAGUGCAAAAAAAUGGUCACAGCCUCAAAGAGAUUUACCAUCCAUCGCAGCUCCAAUGUGCUCACCCUCUCACUCAAACGCUUUGCAAACUUCAGUGGAGGCAAAAUCACAAAGGAUGUGAAAUAUCCAGAGUACCUGGACCUGCAGCCCUUUAUGUCUCAGUCUCAAGGGGAGCCCCAGGUCUACGGGCUGUAUGCUGUGCUGGUCCACUCUGGAUUCAGCUGUCAUGCUGGACACUACUUCUGCUAUAUUAAGGCAAGCAAUGGGCAGUGGUAUCAGAUGAACGACUCCUCUGUGUCUGUCAGUGACAUCAGGUCUGUUCUCAACCAGCAGGCGUAUGUCCUUUUCUACAUCAAGUCCAGUGAUGUGAAAAAAACAGGGGACUACAGCCACAUGAGCCAUAACCCAGGCGUCCCCGGUCAGUCGUCUCCACGACCGGUGGUGAUACCACGCGUCAACACCACCGUCCACCAAAACAACAUCGGCUUCAUCGGUCCCCAGCUGCCACCACACAUGACCAAGCGCACGCUUCACGUUAAUGGGAAUGGAUCUCUGAGGGACUAUCCCACCAACUCCAAGCCCAGCACCAGCAGCAGUGUUAUGGAAAAACCAAGCCAUGGACUGGCAUCUUCCUCUUCUUCCAUCUCCCACUCAAUCAGCCGGCCCACAAUGAUCCCAGACCACGACAAGCGCCAGAAGCUUUCAUUCUUCAUUGGACAAGGCAAACCGAACCGGCCGUCCUCCUCCUCGUCCUCUUACAGCCAGCCGUCCUCUGCCGCCAGCAGCAGCAGCUCAUCCUCCUCCAGCUCUUUAUCCUCCUCUCAGUCUACCUCAGACGUUCGCUUUGUUCCACGUCAGCUUAACCACAUUAACGGCACGUCUUGCAGAAACGGGAACCACCACACAGGAGGGAAUGGAUCGUCGUUCUUGGUGCCGUACGGCCAAGAGUCUUCAGAGGAAUCGGACCAGGAGAACUGUGGCACUCUGGAUAACGGCGGUUCAGCCAAGUCUCGUUUUAAUGGAAACGGCAGAACGGGAGAGACCUUUAAUAAUUCUUCUCAAGCCACCAACGGAGAAUCGGGAGUACACCACAACGGUUACGGAUUAAAUGGACCAACCAAUGGCGUCUCUAAAUCCAAGGCCCAUCAUUCUUCCUCAUCCCAGGCCAGUUCUUCUCAGAGCAUCCAUCCUGCUGCCAGCGAAAGCCAGCAUCUCUCCACUCCUGACACAAGGGCUAAAGCGGUGUCUGAACCCCUGCAUCAGCGUACAGCGUCCACCGCCGUUAGCUCUCCACCUUCAGCUACAAAGACCCAUUCUGUCACAUCUAGGGAAUCGGCUUCCUCUUGUGCCCAGCAUGGCAACCCUGCGGCCUUAUCCAUCCCGCCAGAGUGCUCCCAAAGCACCAAUGGGGUCUCUGCAGCUCCACAGAAGGUUAGCAGAGGUGGGGAGAAAGCAAAGGACUCACCACAGACCAGUGAUACGUCAGCAGGCACUGAAAGACGCACAGAUGCUAAGGAGCAACACCAGUCCAAGCCCAGUUCUAGAGGCAAUGAAGGACAAACUUCCCGAGACAGGGAGAGAGACAGACUGUACUCUGACUGGAGCAGAGACAGGGAGAGACACGACAGGGAGAGACACUACAGAGACAGGAGUGGAGAAAGUGACAGUGAUCACCUUCGGCACAGACGGGACUCCCGGGAUCCUCACCGUCGCUCGUACAGGGAUCGUAUGCCUCCUUACGAUCGUUCCUACAGGGACUGGGAGUCUGAGCGUCGCUGGGAGCGGAACGUCCACCACCCCAGGGAGCGUGAUCGCGACAGGUGCUCUCACCAUUACCACCACUAUCAUCACCACCGGUCCAGAGAGGACUGGGACCGCGAGCGGAGGGGACACGGUUAUCCCUAUCGCGAGGAGUCUCAUAGUCGUGGGCGGUGGCAGCAGGAGAGUCGAGAACCCCGGGUGAUGAAGGACAAGAGCAACGGCAGAGAGAGGGACCGUUAUCCGUCAAAAGAGGAGACUUCCUCGCCUGCCACAGAGCGAGAAACCUCCACAAAGUCCAAGGACUCGCCUCCUCGGGCUCGUCUCUCCUCGUUUGAAUCGGCUCCAAACAGGGAGGACCAGAAUCACAGGACUGCUGGUCCGUUGAGCAAGGAGAGGGAUGACAGCUCUGAGGCCCGCCGCUCUAAAAAACACAAAAAGAGCAAGAAAAAGAAGAAGUCAAAGGAUCAAGACAGACACCGCGAGAGCGGGUGA
ensembl:lncRNA